GGCGCGCACCCGGCCCGGUCCCGGAACUGUCAUGCGGGCUGACAGCUGGCACACCUUCCUGUUGCCCUCCACCCGCUCGCAGAAAGCCCCUUCCCAGCAGUCACCCUGACACUGCUCACCUGCUGGGCCUCAGCCCUCGGCCAAGGAAACUUUUCUCCCCCUUCCCAGGAGCUCACUUACAGGGAACUGUGUACUUUGUGGAUGAUGAGGAGGGACAAUACAAUUGUGAAUCAAAAAUGAGAGACAGGGACAAGAAGAGAAUAAUGGACUAUAAGACAGGAGCUUGAGGAACAACGCUUCUUCCUUUUAACAAAGAAGCUUGUCCAGAACAGAAAUUGUUAUUACCUGGUUGGUUUUUCAAAAGAAAAUAAUGUUUUGCUAUGACUGGCGGCAAGAAUUCAAAGGAAAAGAAAAUGCAAAAACUCUGAUGUAUCCUGGCUCCUCCCUCUUCUUUGAAGCGAUUCCUCAGAGCCCUCUGAAAGCCUGUCUCCCAGACUAUAGUACGCAGACAUGCCAAGUGCGCUCCACCGGACUGAGGCUGAUGCAACAAGGAAUUGCAGAGCUGUUUGGCCUUGGGAUUCAGUCGUUAAGAAGAGCUGCCAACUCUGCCUGACCAGCGGGAGUGAGUUUGUUCACUCUUCUCUGGCCUCCAGCACGGAAGGCGGGCUGUCUGCAGCCUCUGUGAAACUUAAGGUAGUUCUUCCCUCGGAGUUGGGUUGAGACCCUCACUUGCUGUUUGAUCACUUUCUGGAAUCUUAAGGUGACACAGACUAACAGGAAAACAAGUAAUGAAGAGAUACUAAGGAAUGCAGCUUAAUGAUGAGUUUUAUAGAUGAAUUAAUGAUUAUUGGUUGGCUUAUAGACUUUCCUGGUUGGCUAAAUGACAGAUGUGAUAAACUCUACAUUCUUUCAAGUUCUAGAAUAUUUUAUAUUUUUUGAGGUAAGUUCUUUCAAAUUGAGUGAUUCUUGAAUAUUUAAUUAUUUAUAUUUUUGAGGUCUUUGGGAUUUAUCAAUUACCAUGAAGAAUACAAUUGGUAAGAUUUAAUUACAGCCACGUGAGCUGGUAUUCUUAUAUACAAUGUACAAAGAAUGUUCUAUGCACAUGGAUAACAAGACAAAGGUCAAGAGUGUCUCUGAAGAGAAAUUAUUUAGGAAUUAAGGUGGAAUAUGAGGUUGCAUACCUCAGUGUAUUUCAAAGGAAUAUAUCUAUUCUGCCCCUGGAAGGAACGAUCUCUCUCUCUCUGUAUUUUCUUGUUCAUCUGAGCAGAAAGCUCCUGGAUUACAGAGCCUGCUUGUUCCUCCUUAGUAACUGUCACCGCCUCCUGCUGGUCUUUCAUUCAGCAGACAAGGGGUUCAAAAGAGUCUUAAUAAAUCCUCAUUCCUUUCCUCCCCACCUCUCUCAAACUCUGCCAUCAUAGAAUUAAUGUUAAGUUGGUAUCUAUGCUCUCUUAAAUAGCUCAGAUCUAACAAACUGAAAUUUAAUUGGUUAAAUAUGAAUACUGCUUCCCCUUGUGCCCUACCCUAAGCACUACUGUCAAGUACCCAAGUACAAUACAGGAAAGGUAUAUUAAUAGUAACUAAUAAAAAAGGUUUUAUUUUUGA